rnacentral:rRNA from 1 species
UACGUAGGGGGCUAGCGUUGUCCGGAAUCAUUGGGCGUAAAGAGCGUGUAGGCGGUCCGGUAAGUCCGCUGUGAAAGUCGGGGGCUCAACCCUCGAAUGCCGGUGGAUACUGUCGGGCUAGAGUGCGGAAGAGGCGAGUGGAAUUCCUGGUGUAGCGGUGAAAUGCGCAGAUAUCAGGAGGAACACCUAUCGCGAAGGCAGCUCGCUGGGACGUAACUGACGCUGAGACGCGAAAGCGUGGGGAGCGAACAGG